GAUGAACGCUGGCGGCGUGCCUAAUACAUGCAAGUCGAGCGAAUGGAUUAAGAGCUUGCUCUUAUGAAGUUAGCGGCGGACGGGUGAGUAACACGUGGGUAACCUGCCCAUAAGACUGGGAUAACUCCGGGAAACCGGGGCUAAUACCGGCUAACAUUUUGAACCGCAUGGUUCGAAACUGAAAGGCGGCUUCGGCUGUCACUUAUGGAUGUCACCUCGUCGCAUUAGCUAGUUGGUGCGGUAACGGCUCACCACGGCAACGAGGCGUAGCCGACCUGAGAGGGGGAUCGGCCACACUGGGACUGAGACACGGCCCAGACUCCUACGGGAGGCAGCAGUAGGGAAUCUUCCGCAAUGGACGAAAGUCUGACGGAGCAACGCCGCGUGAGUGAUGAAGGCUUUCGGGUCGUAAAACUCUGUUGUUAGGGAAGAACAAGUGCUAGUUGAAUAAGCUGGCACCUUGACGGUACCUAACCAGAAAGCCACGGCUAACUACGUGCCAGCAGCCGCAGUAG
rnacentral:rRNA from 1 species